rnacentral:lncRNA from 1 species
GGUCUAAUUGUCCUAUAUAGGACUUAGAUAAUUAUAUUUACAAUGAACUAUCGCGAUCAAGAGAUUAGAUGGCUCGAAUGAUUGGGUUAACUAUACUCUCAUGUAUAUGAGGUAUUGUAUGUUUUGGCUCAUGACCAUCUUUGGGCUUCAAUGGGCUUUGGUCAUUUGGAAUUUCAUGAUUUUACCCUUUACAGAGAGAGAGAAAGUUUCAAUCCAUAUUAACCAUACUUCCUUUUAACUCACAACUAACGUGGACUAAAGAUACUAUCUUGUUAUAACAUGAACAUUAUCAAACCUUGAUUGGAUCAAUCAUGAAGCCUAUGUAACUUAAUAUAGU